UCCACCUUCUUAAAAGGUCUCCCUCCCCAAACCCUUCUCUUCCCGCCCUUCAUCUAAGAGCCCCAAAUUUGAAGACCAAAAACAAUGAACCCCUCAAACCUCCUCCCUACCCAGAAUCUAACGAUGGGCUGUCCAGUCCUCGACCGCUGCCUCGGCGGCGGAAUCCCCUGCAACUCCCUCACGGAGCUCGUAGCCGAGAGCAGCUGCGGCAAGACCCAAUUCUGCCUCCAACUCACUCUCUUCGCUCAGCUCCCUCCUUCCCACGGCGGCCUCUCCGCCUCCUCUCUUUACCUCCACACAGAAUUCCCUUUCCCCUUUCGCCGCCUCCGCCACCUCUCCCACUCCUUCCGCUCCUCCCACGCGAAUCUUAUCCUCUCCAACCCUCGUGAAGAUGUAUACGUUCACGCUGUACACGAUGCACACCACCUGCUCGACAUAAUGCCCAAGAUAGAGUGCUUUGUUGCGAGCAGGAAAACCCGGCUGCCUGUGAGGCUAAUUGUGAUUGAUUCCAUUGCCGCACUAUUUCGCAGCGAAUUUGGCAACAACCCUUUGGAUCUUAAGCGGAGGUCCUUCCUGUUCUUCGAGAUUUCCGGGAUGCUGAAGUUGUUGGCGAGAAAGUACAGCUUGGCGGUGGUGGUGAUGAACCAGGUGGUUGAUUUUAUGGGGGAAGUAGAGGGGAUAAGUGGGAUGAGAGUUGGGAAUUUGAGCUCCUUGCGUUCAUCCGGAAGACGGGUUUGUCCUGCUUUGGGAUUAGCUUGGUCACGUUGCGUGAAUUCGAGGUUGUUCUUGUUUAGAAAUGAGGAGAUUGUUGGGAGAGAAAAUGAUGGGUUGGAGGAUGAUCUGUUCAGGCAAACAAGAAGGCGACUUGAUGUUGUUUUUGCUCCUCAUUUGCCGCCAUCAUCUUGAACUGGAACAGGCGGAAUUGCUAGCACAGCUUGAAUCGGAGCAUCAAAAUGUGUUGAUGGUGCUGCUAGUCAAGGGAUGGUGCUGCUAGUCAAGGGAUUGAGCUGGAAUGAAUGGACUGGGCGGGAAGAGAACAUGAAGGCUCGGACUGUGACACGGAAACUCCCAGCGGAAGUGUAAGAAUGUGUACUAGCAAUUAAUGACAGUGGUGCUCAGACUAACUAAUCUUUAUGGACAAAGCAAGAGUCUGAACAAGAGACCUUUUUUUUCACUCAUAUGCUUGUGUCUCAGGCUAAACAAAGUUAUUGCAACUGUUAUUUACUUACCCUGUAUAGCUCGCUAUUGAUGUCAAUAUGAUUUUGCAUUCCCUUGGCUUCUCUAGCGUUUUGUUCACUUCUCUCAUCUAGAUUGAUGUCAGUAUAUGUAACAUGUCGAACAGUAAGUGCAUACAUAUAUGUGACAUGGCUUAUAAUUGCUUUAAACAGAAUGCACAACUAGUUCACUAUACCAUUGUCUAUCAUAGUAUCAGUAACUAGUAGAUGGAAAUGCGUUCUGUUCAUCAGUCCUUUCAUGAGU